GUACGCGAAAGGAUCUUAGAAGUGAAAUCGAGUAGGACGGGGCACGAGAAACCUUGUCAAUAUGGGGGGACCAUCCUCCAAGGCUAAAUACUACUGACUGACCGAUAGUGAACUAGUACCGUGAGGGAAAGGCGAAAAGAACCCCGGAAGGGGAGUGAAACAGAUCCUGAAACCGCAUGCAUACAAACAGUCGGAGCCUCUGCGAAGGGGUGACGGCGUACCUUUUGUAUAAUGGGUCAGCGACUUACAUUCAGUGGCAAGCUUAACCGAUUAGGGCAGGCGUAGCGAAAGCGAGUCCGAACAGGGCGAUUCAGUCGCUGGGUGUAGACCCGAAACCAGACGAUCUAUCCAUGGCCAGGUUGAAGAUGCCGUAACAGGCAUUGGAGGACCGAACCCA
rnacentral:rRNA from 13 species